GAUGAACGCUGGCGGCGUGCCUAAUACAUGCAAGUCGAGCGAACGGACGAGAAGCUUGCUUCUCUGAUGUUAGCGGCGGACGGGUGAGUAACACGUGGAUAACCUACCUAUAAGACUGGGAUAACUUCGGGAAACCGGAGCUAAUACCGGAUAAUAUUUUGAACCGCAUGGUUCAAAAGUGAAAGACGGUCUUGCUGUCACUUAUAGAUGGAUCCGCGCUGCAUUAGCUAGUUGGUAAGGUAACGGCUUACCAAGGCAACGAUGCAUAGCCGACCUGAGAGGGUGAUCGGCCACACUGGAACUGAGACACGGUCCAGACUCCUACGGGAGGCAGCAGUAGGGAAUCUUCCGCAAUGGGCGAAAGCCUGACGGAGCAACGCCGCGUGAGUGAUGAAGGUCUUCGGAUCGUAAAACUCUGUUAUUAGGGAAGAACAUAUGCGUAAGUAACUGCGCACAUCUUGACGGUACCUAAUCAGUAAGCCACGGCUAACUACGUG
rnacentral:rRNA from 1 species